rnacentral:rRNA from 1 species
GACGAACGCUGGCGGCGUGCCUAAUACAUGCAAGUCGAGCGCCGACGGUUGGUACUUUUCCCAACUGGGUGAGCAGCGCACGGGUGAGUAACGCGUGGGGAAUACCUCUCUGAGCGGGGGACAACAUUGGGAAACGAAUGAUAAUACCGCAUAAAAACGUUAAACACAAGUUUUAAGUGUGAAAGAUGCAUUUGUAUCACUCAAAGAUGAUCCCGCGUUGUAUUAGCUAGUUGGUGAGGUAAAGGCACACCAAGGCGAAGAUACAUAGUCGACCUGAGGGGGUGGUCGGCCACAUUGGGACUGGGACACGGCCCAAGCUCCUACUGGUAGCAGCAGUAGGGGAUCUUCGGCAAUGGCCGGAAGUCUGACCGUGCAACGCCGCGUGAGUGAAGAAGGUUUUCGGAUCGUGAAACUCUGUUGGUAGAGAAGAACGUUUGUGGGAGUGGAAAGCUCAUCAAGUGACGGUAACUACCCAGAAAGGAACGGCUAACUACGUG